rnacentral:rRNA from 1 species
AAGCGGAGGAGCAUGUGGUUAAUUUCGAUGAUACGCGAGGAACCGUUACCUGGGCUCGAACGUAAGAUGACUGUAGGUGAAAGCUUACAUCUCUUCGGAGCAUUUUACGAGGUGCUGCAUGGUUGUCGUCAGCUCGUGCCGUGAGGUGUCGGGUUAAGUCCCAUAACGAGCGCAACCCCUACCUUUAGUUGCCAUCGGGUAAUGCUGGGGACUCUAAAGGAACUGCCUACGCAAGUAGUGAGGAAGGCGGGGAUGACGUCAAAUCAGCACGGCCCUUACGUCCAGGGCUACACACGUGCUACAAUGGCCGAUACAGAGGGCAGCUACCUGGUGACAGGAUGCAAAUCUCCAAAGUCGGUCUCAGUUCGGAUCGGAGUCUGCAACCCGACUCCGUGAAGUUGGAUUCGCUAGUAAUCGCGCAUCAGCCAUGGCGCGGUGAAUACGUUCCCGGGCCUU